UUAACUCUAAUUUGUAUGGAGUUGGAACGUUUGCCUACGUUUGCCACAAGGGGUGCUGUUACAACUGCAUAUUUAAUUCAAUAUA
rnacentral:pre_miRNA from 1 species